AACAUUAAAGGGUCUUAAUCCUUAUUCCUUCAACAAGCAAUCUGUGAAGAGAAUGGGAGGAAAAGGGGAAGGGGGAAAUGGGAAGGGAGAGAGACAGUGUCUAGAUUAACACUUGAAAGUCUUGCCAAUCAAUCAUAAUAUGUGGAUUUAAUUGGAUCCAUAUCCUAACAUUAUGGGACGAAAAUUAGGCUAUUCAUAAAACAGCUGAAGAUUGCACUCAUUGAUUAUUUCACAAUUAAUAGGUUGCUGUUUAUUUUUAAAAUGUAAUAAUGCUGGGUUUGUGUGUAAAAAGUCAGUUUUUGUAUUUAAACUAUAGAUAUACAAUGAGAAGUAAGCAGAUGAAAUGAUAUAUUGUCUGUAAUUUUCUUCAAAAUGAUUCAAGAGGAAGAGCACCGGGUUGGAAUAAUAAUGAAUCCCAAUCAGCCUCUAUUGGCAGUUACUGAAUUUGGGUUAUGGGUGUUUGAGAGAUUUUUGUUUAUUUAUUUAUUUAUUUACAAGUAUGUCAGCAUUUGUAUUUGCUAGAAACUCUCAAUAGAAAGUCUAAAUAAAAUGAGAUUAUCAGAAGUGAGUCUUUGGGCUGUUGGUAACUUCCCUGGUUCUCUGCCCAGUUUUUGUUUUAGAGCUGGCAACCCUAUGAGGCCUGGUCACAGAAAGAGCAGGUGCCACAGCAUUAACACCCACUGCAAUGCAUGGGCAGAUGUCUUGCUAUUUGGCAAUAUGAAGGCAGCUUGCUACUCCAACUGAUUUACACCCAUUGAGUCGUUUUGUGAAGUUGUUUUUGUUUUGUAUAAAAGCUUUGAGGUCCUAACAAUGGGCAUAGAAGAGCAAAUACUUUACUAUUUUUUUCUGCUGUUGGAGAAACAGGCAUCCAUGCCUGUCUGAAGAUCCUAUUUACUCAGGAGUAAUUGACAAUAAUGGUGAUGUGGAUGGAAAGCAUGUAACAUGUGACUUGUCUUUGUCUGUCAAUCUGUACAUCAGGAGGCAAACGGAAAGAAAAAGCACACUAUGGAUGAGAACAGCACUGGUCUGGGGCCCAAAUAAUUUAGAAGGCAGAGAUAUAGGAAGAAAGCCUGCCAGGAUGGAGCUGAGGCUUCUUGGUAUCCAAAGGAACUUCUGAGCUCUGCUAAUCCUCAGCAGAAGACAAUGUGUUAAGUGGCAGACCAGCAAACCAAGAAGGCGAGCAUAACUAGGUGAACAAAUGACAAUGUCUUGCAGAGCUUGAAGGUCCAUAAUUUGUGAGGCCCCUGGCCCCAUGCACCAUAAAAUUGCUAUGUUUCAUGGCAAACCACCCAUCCCAAAUGCAUUUUUAUAUUCAGAAGACACCUAGAAGAAGAUCCUAAGAGCAAGGCAGAAAAAGACUAUGAAAUCACCACAUGUUUUAAUCCAGAGAGACAGAGCACUAAAUAAAGUGACUCCAAAUGGUUGCUUUAGACUAAUU
rnacentral:lncRNA from 1 species